rnacentral:rRNA from 1 species
AAACUUUCAACAACGGAUCUCUUGGUUCUCGCAACGAUGAAGAACGCGGCGAAAUGCGAUACGUAAUGUGAAUUGCAGGUUUUCGUGAAUCAUCGAAUCUUUGAACGCAUAUUGCGCCCUCUGGUAUUCCGGAGGGCAUGCCUGUUUGAGCGUCAUU